CAUAUGAUUCAUAGGCCCUCACAAAGUUAGCACAUUAGCACGGGUGAGGUGUGGAGCCUCAGAUUCUCCAUCUAGUCAGUGAAAUGGUCUCUGAGGUCCCUUCCAUCACUCACAGUCUAUGCUUGUUACCAACUUCCAUUUGCUCCUUUAUUUAAUGGUCACAAUAUGAAGACAGAAAUGUCUCGUUAGCACUCAUGCCUCUGCACAGUAGAGGGACAGGGAGAGAUGUCUGAAUCACAAUGCAUUUUGUGGAGACUCAUGAGUCUGAAUCAGGAGCUGGAGAUGGAAUGUGAAAGCCAUGACCUCAGAAUGUAGGCCUCACUUUAUACAAGCACAAAAACCUCAGUGGUUUUAGUUUUGUGUUGACCCAUUGAUAUGGAAAUGCUGCUUACUUUCUCUACGUCUAAGAGCAUCAGGAUAUGCCGGUCUGCCUUUCCCUCAGUUGGUAAGUGACCAACGAGAGUCACACACCAGGCUGAUUCACUCUCUUGCUACGCUGAAAUACAGUACACUCACUCUGUUAGACAAGAUUGACUGAAUGGAAGCCGACUUGUUAUUAUCAAAGCCGUGUGCGGCCGACAAGCUCUUUCAGAUAAAUGCUUCUGUCCCUGUGAGACUGGUAGACGCUGCAUCCUAGUUCUCUGUGUAUCAUCUCAGGAAUGGCGUGAUCUGAACGCACAAGGCUUACUCUGCUGGUCUCCAUAGGUUCAUUCCAGAAGGAAGAACAGAAACAAAUUAUCCUAUAUUCACUGAUUCAUGCUUGGAUAAACACAGACUCCCUCUUUCCAUCAGGACAUCUAUCAGAGCGGCAUUAAUAUGAGCAAGCCGAGGCAUUGAGAGGUGAAGUACUUACCUGGAACCACACAAGUAAUACUAAACAAAAUUAAUUAUGUUGGAAGACUUCUAUAAGCAUCUGGACCACAGACUCCAGCCAGUGUUUUAAACUACUAUGUCUCUUGGUGUUCAAAAUACUGUGCCAUGGGACUAACAGACAAGGUGGCGUUCAUUUUUCUUAAGAAUUUUUUUUCAUAAAAUCUUGCUUGUGUUUUGGCAUACCACAAUGUAGCAGACACUUUUAUCAUGUGAAUAGUAAUUUAAAGGAUAUCUUUUGCCAAAAUCUAAGGUUUCUUGAUAAAAUCUAAUGAAACACUAGAGACUUCAUUUCAUUUCUCAAAAUUUAAUCCCAGUAUGUUACUGAAAGCUCACAAAUGUGAAGGCUGCUUCUGCUGUCCAACAGUCAUUUGGUAGAAAACAUGCUGAAGGCAACAAAACAAAACAAAAAACAAACAAAUCAACA